GUGGAGGGUGGAGAAGGGGGGAGGGUGGAUGGGUGGGGGAAAUCCGACAGCUUAAGGAGGUUUGAAUUGAAUAUGCACCCAGCGGCAGUGGUCUCGUAGGAAAUGGUGUUCUCGUAAGUCAGGCUGCCCCGCUGAAGCACGAGAGAGCUUUGGUUAGAGCUCAGAGCGUCAGUUCUGCUGCGAGUGCUGUCGGCAGUCGGCCCAGGCUGAGCUGUCCACUCGUCCAGGUGCUGAAGCUGGUGGAACAUUUGGGGCUCUCUCUUGCCACGACACUCAAUCAAAGCACCUAGAGUGGACUGGCGGAGACCAGAGGGGGUAUGAAGCAGAGCAAGUACAGAGGAAGGCACUGGGAGAGCACCAGAAUUGGAAAUAGAGCAGCCAGUUGGAUUUGGGCAGGAAGCAGCCGAGCACAGCUUUGGAUCCUUCUUUAGGGAAAUCGAGUUAUGGAUUUAUGGUCCCGGUCAAGCUCAGCCCAGCCCCAGCCAGGGGCGGGCUCAGCAGCAAGAGUUCUGGUGGCGGCGGCGGCAGUAGCAGCGGCAGCAGUAGCAGCAGUAGCAGCAGCUUGGUCCUCUGACUCUCUUCGGUGACGGGUAUUCUUGGGUGGAUAAUACGGAUUACGUUGUUAUUGCUUAAGAAUACGCGUAGUCGAGGAGAGUACCAGCGGCAGGCGGGCAGCGGCCGCCCCUCCCAGCCCACCAGCUGGCCUCUAAACGCCUGUGGUUGCCAAGAAACUCAAGAUGUCAUUGAAUUUUGCCACGGAGCCACAAGAAUAAUACAUCAAAUAGAAGAAGUAGAUGAGAAAAAUUUUGCUGGGUAUCCACCCACUUCAAUUCAGUCACUUGAAGAAAUUAUAAAAAUUCUGAUGAGUUUUAAAACUUUCGUUUGCUCUGGCAUAGUACAAACAUGCAUUGAUUUAUCAUCGCAGGUAUGUUUUCAUAAAUUUUCUCUUACCAAUCAGAUAAAAAUUCAUCCCAAUUUGCCAAAUUGUUCUCUUUAUAUUUUAAAAAAGCUUGACACAUAUAAGAUUAUUUCGGGGGAAAGAAACCCAGAUUUUCUCAUUUGUCAUUCAUUCAAUCCAUUGUAA
rnacentral:lncRNA from 1 species